rnacentral:rRNA from 1 species
UUAAAUUGAAGAGUUUGAUCAUGGCUCAGAUUGAACGCUGGCGGCAGGCCUAACACAUGCAAGUCGAACGGUAACAGGAAGCAGCUUGCUGCUUUGCUGACGAGUGGCGGACGGGUGAGUAAUGUCUGGGAAACUGCCUGAUGGAGGGGGAUAACUACUGGAAACGGUAGCUAAUACCGCAUAACGUCGCAAGACCAAAGAGGGGGACCUUCGGGCCUCUUGCCAUCGGAUGUGCCCAGAUGGGAUUAGCUUGUUGGUGGGGUAACGGCUCACCAAGGCGACGAUCCCUAGCUGGUCUGAGAGGAUGACCAGCCACACUGGAACUGAGACACGGUCCAGACUCCUACGGGAGGCAGCAGUGGGGAAUAUUGCACAAUGGGCGCAAGCCUGAUGCAGCCAUGCCGCGUGUAUGAAGAAGGCCUUCGGGUUGUAAAGUACUUUCAGCGGGGAGGAAGGGAGUAAAGUUAAUACCUUUACUCAUUGACGUUACCCGCAGAAGAAGCACCGGCUAACUCCGUGCCAGCAGCCGCGGUAAUACGGAGGGUGCAAGCGUUAAUCGGAAUUACUGGGCGUAAAGCGCACGCAGGCGGUUUGUUAAGUCAGAUGUGAAAUCCCCGGGCUCAACCUGGGAACUGCAUCUGAUACUGGCAAGCUUGAGUCUCGUAGAGGGGGUAGAAUUCCAGGUGUAGCGGUGAAAUGCGUAGAGAUCUGGAGGAAUACCGGUGGCGAAGGCGGCCCCCUGGACGAAGACUGACGCUCAGGUGCGAAAGCGUGGGGAGCAAACAGGAUUAGAUACCCUGGUAGUCCACGCCGUAAACGAUGUCGACUUGGAGGUUGUGCCCUUGAGGCGUGGCUUCCGGAGCUAACGCGUUAAGUCGACCGCCUGGGGAGUACGGCCGCAAGGUUAAAACUCAAAUGAAUUGACGGGGGCCCGCACAAGCGGUGGAGCAUGUGGUUUAAUUCGAUGCAACGCGAAGAACCUUACCUGGUCUUGACAUCCACAGAACUUUCCAGAGAUGGAUUGGUGCCUUCGGGAACUGUGAGACAGGUGCUGCAUGGCUGUCGUCAGCUCGUGUUGUGAAAUGUUGGGUUAAGUCCCGCAACGAGCGCAACCCUUAUCCUUUGUUGCCAGCGGUCCGGCCGGGAACUCAAAGGAGACUGCCAGUGAUAAACUGGAGGAAGGUGGGGAUGACGUCAAGUCAUCAUGGCCCUUACGACCAGGGCUACACACGUGCUACAAUGGCGCAUACAAAGAGAAGCGACCUCGCGAGAGCAAGCGGACCUCAUAAAGUGCGUCGUAGUCCGGAUUGGAGUCUGCAACUCGACUCCAUGAAGUCGGAAUCGCUAGUAAUCGUGGAUCAGAAUGCCACGGUGAAUACGUUCCCGGGCCUUGUACACACCGCCCGUCACACCAUGGGAGUGGGUUGCAAAAGAAGUAGGUAGCUUAACCUUCGGGAGGGCGCUUACCACUUUGUGAUUCAUGACUGGGGUGAAGUCGUAACAAGGUAACCGUAGGGGAACCUGCGGUUGGAUCACCUCCUUACCUUAAAGAAGC